CCAUUAAAAUAAACACCAAAGAAAGUAAUAAUGAGACUAGUAAAGAACUACAAUACCUUGGAGUCCCACGAGCAUUUUAUGACACAAGGAGCCCACGAAACAGAUUGGAAAAAGGGGAAAGCCUGCAGAAUAGAUGGCAACUUCACUAACAUCUUUAUUUAUUUUUUAAAAAUUGUAUCUAUUCCUAUGCUCUAAUGAUCUAGAAUUUUCAGCGAAUCCCUGGGAAACUUAAAGAAUGCUGUGAGAGCAUUCUUGUUUAAAUAUUUAAGAAAAGAGACAUUUACUUUCAUAAAGAAGAACAUAUGGCCUUGUUUGUUACUGUGAAUCCUUGGUUCUAACUACUGCUGUCACCCAGGCAUGUGUUCCCAACAUUAACCUUUGUCUGAACUAUUCUUAUCCCUAUGUAGGUGUAUUCUAUAUCUGCAUCUUCCAUUAAGCCUUCAACUACCAUUUAACACACACACACACACACUCUCACACACACACACACACGCACACACAAAUUGGCCCCCAAGUAUUUUUAGGUUUCAAGCCUCUUGUUUUUCACAUGUUAGACUCAUGGACCUUAUAUUUAAGUAUAUUUUCUGCACCUGCUGUCUGCCCAGAUCUCUCCCUUAAUUGACCUGAGGUCUCUCCUCUCUCUGAUGCUGAAGGGUCUGCUUAGGGUGAAAGGAUUUUCUAUACUGUGGUGAUUACAAAAAUGUAUGAUUGAAGUUUAUUAUAUGUCAAUGAUGUCCUGGUUUUUUAAUAACGGGAUUUAUCCUAAUAACCUUGAAAUAAAUAAAAUACAACAUUCAUCUUUUGUGGCUUACUAAAAAAUAGCUGUUAAUGGACACUGUAUCCCCUUUAAAAUUUUCUUCUUUUUUUACUUUGUUCAUACACCUCUCCAUGGAAAUCCAAAUAUUAAUUGAAAAAAAAUGGUGUUAGUUUUCUUUGAGAUAAUAAAAUUUUAAUGUGUUGUAAUAAGUAAAGAGGAAAAUACGUUUAUGAAACAAAUUACUAUUAGAAACCUGUUUUCGAAGAGUUUUUCUUUCCCAUUACAUGAUGGAUGAAUUUACAUACACGUACAGGCAAAAAAGCUGUAAUCCUAAAUUGUUUGG
rnacentral:lncRNA from 1 species